AUUGAACGCUGGCGGCAGGCCUAACACAUGCAAGUCGGGCGGAGAUGAGGUGCUUGCACCUUAUCUUAGCGGCGGACGGGUGAGUAAUGCUUAGGAAUCUGCCUAUUAGUGGGGGACAACAUUCCGAAAGGAAUGCUAAUACCGCAUACGCCCUACGGGGGAAAGCAGGGGAUCUUCGGACCUUGCGCUAAUAGAUGAGCCUAAGUCGGAUUAGCUAGUUGGUGGGGUAAAGGCCUACCAAGGCGACGAUCUGUAGCGGGUCUGAGAGGAUGAGCCGCCACACUGGGACUGAGACACGGCCCAGACUCCUACGGGGUGCAGCAGUGGGGAAUAUUGGACAAUGGGCGGAAGCCUGAUCCAGCCAUGCCGCGUGUGUGAAGAAGGCCUUUUGGUUGUAAAGCACUUUAAGCGAGGAGGAGGCUACCUGGAUUAAUACUCUAGGAUAGUGGACGUUACUCGCAGAAUAAGCACCGGCUAACUCUGUGCCAGCCGCCGCCGUAAUAC
rnacentral:rRNA from 1 species